ensembl:rRNA 5S_rRNA 5S ribosomal RNA
CAUAGCAGCCAUAUCACCCUGUAGACCAAGACUGGUUGCCCACUGAAGCUAAGCAGGGUUGAGACUGGUCAGUACCUGGAUGGGAGACCUCCUGGGAAAACUAGGUUGCUGCUGGAA